rnacentral:sRNA from 1 species
CAGUGACUCGGCAGGAGAAAAUGGCGACCGUGUGGGAUGAAGCCGAGCAAGAUGGAAUUGGGGAGGAGGUGCUCAAGAUGUCCACGGAGGAGAUCAUCCAGCGCACACGGCUGCUGGACAGUGAGAUCAAGAUCAUGAAGAGUGAAGUGUUGAGAGUCACCCAUGAGCUCCAAGCCAUGAAGGACAAGAUAAAAGAGAACAGUGAGAAAAUCAAAGUGAACAAGACCCUGCCGUACCUUGUCUCCAACGUCAUCGAGCUCCUGGAUGUUGAUCCUAAUGACCAAGAGGAGGAUGGUGCCAAUAUUGACCUGGACUCCCAGAGGAAGGGCAAGUGUGCUGUGAUCAAAACCUCUACACGACAGGUGAGCGUGGCUCAGCAAUGAGAGACUGGAGGAGGGUGAGGAUCGGAUGUGGGACAGGACUAGGGAGCCUUCCCUGAGGACACUAACUGAGACUGCCCCUGUAACUUGUCCACAGACGUACUUUCUUCCUGUGAUUGGGUUGGUGGAUGCUGAAAAGCUAAAGCCAGGAGACCUGGUGGUGAGU